rnacentral:rRNA from 1 species
AGAGUUUGAUCCUGGCUCAGGACGAACGCUGGCGGCGUGCCUAACACAUGCAAGUCGAGCGGAGACAGUGAGUAGCUUGCUAUGAGCUGUUUUAGCGGCGGACGGGUGAGUAACGCGUGAGCAACCUUUCCCAGACAGGGGAAUAACACACCGAAAGGUGUACUAAUACCGCAUAAGACCACGGGAUCACAUGGUUCUGGGGUAAAAGAUUUAUCGGUUUGGGGUGGGCUCGCGUCCGAUUAGGUAGUUGGUGAGGUAACGGCCCACCAAGCCGACGAUCGGUAGCCGACCUGAGAGGGUGAUCGGCCACAUUGGGACUGAGACACGGCCCAAACUCCUACGGGAGGCAGCAGUGGGGAAUAUUGCACAAUGGGGGAAACCCUGAUGCAGCGACGCCGCGUGAGCGAAGAAGUAUUUCGGUAUGUAAAGCUCUAUCAGCAGGGAAGAUAAUGACGGUACCUGACUAAGAAGCCCCGGCUAACUACGUGCCAGCAGCCGCGGUAAUACGUAGGGGGCAAGCGUUGUCCGGAAUAAUUGGGCGUAAAGGGCGCGUAGGCGGCUCGGUAAGUCUGGAGUGAAAGUCCUGCUUUUAAGGUGGGAAUUGCUUUGGAUACUGUCGGGCUUGAGUGCAGGAGAGGUUAGUGGAAUUCCCAGUGUAGCGGUGAAAUGCGUAGAGAUUGGGAGGAACACCAGUGGCGAAGGCGACUAACUGGACUGUAACUGACGCUGAGGCGCGAAAGUGUGGGGAGCAAACAGGAUUAGAUACCCUGGUAGUCCACACUGUAAACGAUGAAUGCUAGGUGUAGGGGGUAUCGACCCCUUCUGUGCCGCAGUCAACACAAUAAGCAUUCCGCCUGGGGAGUACGGCCGCAAGGUUGAAACUCAAAGGAAUUGACGGGGGCCCGCACAAGCAGUGGAGUAU